GCCACAUGUAGGCAGUCCUCUACCUCCCUUCCACAAGAAUUCCAAGGGAGAACUUUGAGAGUCGAAAGCCAUGCAUUCAGAAGAGGAGAGCACUGAGCAGUUCCAGAUGUGGAAUCACACUGGAGACCCACAUGGACAAGGUACAGGCAUAUCACUCCAUGGGAAGCAGCCCCCACCAGAACAUAUCCUGGAAAUGGCCAAGAUUAUAGUCAAACCUGUCCUGAAAAAGCUUUCUCACUGCUUGAUCCAGCAUGAACUUUGGAACUGCUGCCUAUGUAUCCAGCUCUGGAAAGUCCCCUACAACACCACCGUCUGGGAGGAAUUUGGGCCUUUCCAUUGGGACCAAAUAUAUCUUCUGCCACAGUCAACAAAAUAUUGCUGUUGACGAG